UUAUUUUACAAAUUUCUGUAGUUUUUUUUUCUUUUGUUGAUUUAUAUUAUGCACUUUUUGGUUUUGUUUUUUAUUUAUUUCCUUAAUUCUAAAGAAAAUUCUUGUUUUUAUAAUUGAAUUCAGGACCUCAUCAUGUAUCAUGCUCACAAAUAAUAUCGGCCUCUUUCAAUAUGUCACUGACAAAAACAGUACUUGAAUCAAUGAGGCAUUCUUCAGAUUGACUUUCUUGGGUAUUCCUAUUUGAUGUAAAAACAGCACUACUAUGUCUACCUAAAAUGUACCACCGUAGCCUGGAAAAUUGGUUUUGAUUAUUUACACAAUAUUUUUUUUUUUAUUAUUAUAAGAUUAGUUAUUAUUGUUAAUUAAUUUAACCUGUAUUGAAAAUGUAAAGGUGUCGGGUGUGUAUUGGCUGCACCCAUUCCUCGCAAAAAACUAAAACAAUUUUCCAAUACAUCUUGAUUAAGACGCCUGGUAAUAAUGUAUUUUAUGCUAUACAUUUCUUUCAUGUCUGCAAAUAAAUUCCUCAAGGAUAUAUUGCUCAUGAGAAUUCCUUUUUGAAAUGGCAUUAAAGUUUUCCUUGGACAUUUAGAGUGAUAAACACGCAUAGUUAGCAUAAGUUGUCCAUUUUCUGUAAUAUGCCAUCCUGAUUGUCUUUGUCCAGCCCAUAUGCAAGACACUUAGUUGUCUUGGUACUUGUGAAUUGAAUAAAUCAAACCCUUGAUCAAUGAUUUUAAAUGUUUCAGAUACCUAAAAACCAAAAAAAUCUCUCUUUUGUCCUGCAUAUGCAACAGCUGUUGCUACAGUGUUUGAAAAAAAUUGUGAUGCUAAUUUUACUUUCUGUCUCAUUGGUCCAGUACACUUUAAAUGGCUGUGAGAUAAUUUAUAUGAAUGAAACCAUGGUCAAGGUAAUUAUUUCUGCAUAAUUUUAUAAGAUGUGGUAUGUCAGCAAAAACAUGUACCCGUUGACCUGUAAUUGGGUGUUUAAAGUUUGGUUGUUCAAAUGAAACUGAAAUUGAUUUUAAUAAUCCUUGAUUAGUUGGGGCCCCAUGUCACUGACGACACCCACAACAUUGAAUCCAACUGUGUGUAGUUUCUCAAUUAUGUCAAUUAAUAGUUCUGAUGUCAAUGGAGUAUCAUAUUUAUAAAAAAUUGGCUGUUUCCAUUUCGAUAUCAGUCCUCUGGCCAUAACAACUUGAACUGUUUUAUGUGGCCCUAUUACUUGUUCCCUGUUUCGGUCAAAAUCAAUCUGAUGAGAUAGAUACAUUUCAUCAAAUGAUAGAAUAGUAAGUUUUUCCUCAAUGGCCAUGUCUAAUCCUAACAUAUUUUUAAAUAAAAUAAAAUCAAUUAAUCAAAGCAAUAUCAUGUAAAUUUAAUCAAUGGUAAUGAUAUUAAUAUUUAUUUUGUUGUUAUUUAAAAUUUUUUAAAAUAUAUA